rnacentral:misc_RNA from 1 species
GAUGAAGAACGUAGCGAAAUGCGAUAAGUAGUGUGAAUUGCAGAAUUCAGUGAAUCAUCGAAUCUUUGAACGCACAUUGCGCCCCUUGGUAUCCCGAGGGGCAUGCCUGUUCGAGCGUCAUUUCACCACUCAAGCCUGGCUUGGUGUUGGGCGACGUCCUCUUUGGGGACGCGCCUCGAAACGCUCGGCGGCGUGGCACCGGCUUUAAGCGUAGCAGAAUCUUUCGCUUUGGAAGUCGGGGCCCGGUCUGCCGGAAGACCUGCUCGCAAGGUUGACCUCGGAUCAGGCAGGGAUACCCGCUGAACUUAAGCAUAUCAAUAAGCGGAGGA